rnacentral:rRNA from 1 species
GACGAACGCUGGCGGCGUGCUUAACACAUGCAAGUCGAGCGGACCCCAACCUCUCGCAAGAGAGGGGAAGGGUUAGCGGCGAACGGGUGAGUAACACGUGAGGAACCUGCCUCGGAGACCGGGAUAACCCCCCGAAAGGGGAGCUAAUACCGGAUGCCCCCAGCGGACCGCAUGGUCUGCUGAGGAAAUGGAUUCCGCUCCGAGAGGGCCUCGCGGCCUAUCAGCUUGUUGGGGAGGUAACGGCUCACCAAGGCGUCGACGGGUAGCUGGUCUGAGAGGACGAUCAGCCACACUGGGACUGAGACACGGCCCAGACUCCUACGGGAGGCAGCAGUGGGGAAUCUUGCGCAAUGGGCGAAAGCCUGACGCAGCAACGCCGCGUGGGGGAUGAAGGCUCUCGGGUUGUAAACCCCUUUCAGCAGGGACGAUCGUGACGGUACCUGCAGAAGAAGGACCGGCCAACUACGUGCCAGCAGCCGCGGUAAUAC